rnacentral:snoRNA from 1 species
CCGCAUGUUUAUCCAAGAGCUGUGGCUGCACGCAAUAGCUGCAGGUCUCCAACAACAUGCAAGAGCAACGGGAAGGUCUUUGACUGCUGGGCCUCCUCUUUGCCUGUUGCUGUCACUCGCCCCUCCUAUAUAA